rfam:Schistosoma mattheei strain Denwood, Zambia genome assembly, scaffold: SMTD_contig0000140
GCACUGCUGAGGAGUCCCAUGCUAGGACGAAACGGCCGUCCAGUGC